UUUUUGGAGAGUUUGAUCCUGGCUCAGGAUGAACGCUGGCGGCGUGCCUAAUACAUGCAAGUCGAGCGGGAGAAUCAUCCUUCGGGAUGAGGAUCCAGCGGCGAACGGGUGAGUAACACGUGGGCAACCUGCCCGCAAGACCGGGAUAACUCCGGGAAACCGGGGCUAAUACCGGAUAGUCCUUUUCCCCGCAUGGGGAAAAGGGGAAAGGCGGCUUCGGCUGUCACUUGCGGAUGGGCCCGCGGCGCAUUAGCUGGUUGGUGAGGUAACGGCUCACCAAGGCGACGAUGCGUAGCCGACC
rnacentral:rRNA from 1 species